UACAGAGGUCUCAAGCGUUGUUCGGAUUCAUUGGGCGUAAAGGGUGUGUAGGUGGCGCCGUAAGUCGGGUGUGAAAUUUCGGAGCUUAACUCCGAAACUGCAUUCGAUACUGCGGUGCUUGAGGACUGGAGAGGAGACUGGAAUUCAUGGUGUAGCAGUGAAAUGCGUAGAGAUCAUGAGGAAGACCAGUGGCGAAGGCGGGUCUCCGGACAGUUCCUGACACUGAGGCACGAAGGCCAGGGGAGCAAACGGG
rnacentral:rRNA from 1 species